CCGGGCCCAGCGCGGCCGACUCUUCCCGACGCUUCGGGAUCCGUCUGGGCCCAGCGCGACUGACCCGGCGCUUCGGACUCCCGCUCGCCCAGGUACUGCUGGCACAUCUUGAACAGCCUGCGAGGAGGGAAGAACCCGCGGGGUGAACUCCGGGCCCGCCUUCCACACCCAUUUCCCGGAGGGGCGAACCGAGGCGCUCUCCCGAGCGCCGAGUACAGUCUUCUACACGCCGUGCUUAGCCCAGUGCUCCGCGCGCACGGAAGGCGCUCGGAACACGGUGUCGAUUGGCCGGUGGAUGGACCGAUUAGGGUCAGUCUGGGGAAGACUCACUGUUGCCAGCGUUGCGAACAACUGCUCUCCAGGACGUCCGUGUAUUCGGACUCACUCAGCUCUGCCUCUCCGCGUCUCUUGGAGGAUCGUUUGGCUUCUGCCCGGCUCCGGGAGGGCCAGCGGCCCCAUCUUUGAAGCGCGUCUACACACCCACACACACACUCCCAUCCCGGCGUCUCAGACUCCUCAAGACUGGGAGAGGCUUCCCCCGGCCAUCUCGUCGAUUCCCCUGCCUCCCUUCCACGCCUCGCCCACCCCCCACCCGUCUUCCGAGGGGAAUCCCCGGGGCCAGCUCACCCCAGACGAUUCUGGAAGAAGCCGCGACCCCCCACGAGCCUCCCCCACCGGAGGGAGCGUCACCCCCAAGGCCCGCCCUGGGCUCUGAGCUUGUCGCGGGCCGGGGACGUGUCUAACGGCUCCGUCGAAUUGUCCUCUCCCGAGCGCUCGGUAGAGUGCUGCGCGCACGGUAAGUGCUCGACGCCAUCGAUUAACUGAUCGGGUUCUCUCCGC